AUGUUACUCCUCUCAGUUCCAGACAGGACAGGUUAUACUGUUACUCCUCUCAGUUCCAGACAGGACAGGUUAUACUGUUACUCCUCUCAGUUCCAGACAAGACAGGUUAUACUGUUACUCCUCUCAGUUCCAGACAGGACAGGUUAUACUGUUACUCCUCUCAGUUCCAGACAGGUUAUACUGUUACUCCUCUCAGUUCCAGACAGGACAGGUUAUACUGUUACUCCUCUCAGUUCCAGACAGGACAGGUUAUACUGUUACUCCUCUCAGUUCCAGACAAGACAGGUUAUACUGUUACUCCUCUCAGUUCCAGACAGGACAGGUUAUACUGUUACUCCUCUCAGUUCCAGACAGGUUAUACUGUUACUCCUCUCAGUUCCAGACAGGUUAUACUGUUACUCCUCUCAGUUCCAGACAGGUUAUACUGUUACUCCUCUCAGUUCCAGACAGGACAGGUUAUACUGUUACUCCUCUCAGUUCCAGACAGGACAGGUUAUACUGUUACUCCUCUCAGUUCCAGACAGGACAGGUUAUACUGUUACUCCUCUCAGUUCCAGACAGGACAGGUUAUACUGUUACUCCUCUCAGUUCCAGACAGGUUAUACUGUUACUCCUCUCAGUUCCAGACAGGACAGGUUAUACUGUUACUCCUCUCAGUUCCAGACAGGACAGGUUAUAAUGUUACUCCUCUCAGUUCCAGACAGGACAGGUUAUACUGUUACUCCUCUCAGUUCCAGACAGGACAGGUUAUACUGUUACUCCUCUCAGUUCCAGACAGGACAGGUUAUACUGUUACUCCUCUCAGUUCCAGACAGGACAGGUUAUACUGUUACUCCUCUCAGUUCCAGACAGGACAGGUUAUACUGUUACUCCUCUCAGUUCCAGACAGGUUAUACUGUUACUCCUCUCAGUUCCAGACAGGACAGGUUAUACUGUUACUCCUCUCAGUUCCAGACAGGACAGGUUACUCCUCUCAGUUCCAGACAGGACAGGUUAUACUGUUACUCCUCUCAGUUCCAGACAGGACAGGUUAUACUGUUACUCCUCUCAGUUCCAGACAGGACAGGUUAUACUGUUACUCCUCUCAGUUCCAGACAGGACAGGUUAUACUGUUACUCCUCUCAGUUCCAGACAGGUUAUACUGUUACUCCUCUCAGUUCCAGACAGGACAUGUUAUACUGUUACUCCUCUCAGUUCCAGACAGGACAGGUUAUACUGUUACUCCUCUCAGUUCCAGACAGGACAGGUCGCUGGGAAGAUUGA
rnacentral:lncRNA from 1 species